rnacentral:rRNA from 1 species
ACGUGGGUGAUCUGCCCUGCACUUCGGGAUAAGCUUGGGAAACUGGGUCUAAUACCGGAUAGGAGCCAUCUUUAGUGUGGUGGUUGGGAAGUUUUUCGGUGUAGGAUGAGCUCGCGGCCUAUCAGCUUGUUGGUGGGGUAAUGGCCUACCAAGGCGGCGACGGGUAGCCGGCCUGAGAGGGUGUACGGCCACAUUGGGACUGAGAUACGGCCCAG